rnacentral:sRNA from 1 species
AAAUCUCUAAAUGCUUUAAGGAGGGAUGAUAAUACAGAACUGUCAGUUUUCUCUGGCCUUUGCUUUGUUGGUAACCCUGAGACCGGGGGCCGUCCUGCCUUCGUGAGCCAUUACCCAGUGAGAAAAGCAAUUCCUCUGGGUCUGCGUAUUGGGAGCCUUUUAACCUGGAUGACCCAGGUAUGGGGCCAGCUUCCUUGCAGCAGAUCCUAACCGAAGGUGUUCACCUUCGCAGGUGUGGGAAGAGAGGGGAGAGACCCAAGAGCGGGGCCGGCGGUUGGGAGGCAUCCCCACAGUGAAGGAUGCUUGAAGAAUCAGUCUCAGCUGGCCUGGAGCAGGAGCAGCUGGGGGAAGUCAAGCUGGAGGAGGAGGAGACUGUCAGCCCAGAGGACCCCAGGCGGCCAGAGUCCAGGCUGAGGCCCGAGGUGGCUCACCAGCUGUUCAGAUGCUUCCAGUAUCAGGAGGACAUGGGGCCACGGGCGUCCCUGAGCCGGCUCCGGGAGCUCUGCGGCCACUGGCUGCGGCCGGCUCUGCACACCAAGAAGCAGAUCCUGGAGCUGCUGGUGCUGGAGCAGUUCCUGAGUGUGCUGCCUCCGCACCUCCUGGGCCGCCUGCAGGGGCAGCCCCUCAGGGACGGGGAGGAGGUGGUCCUGCUGCUGGAGGGCAUCCACCGGGAGCCCAGCCAUGCGGGGCCGCUGGUGAGAGGGUGGCGCAGCGGGCUGAGCAGCACGCGGAUGAUGGGGACUUGAUCCCCUCAGUGAGGAAUCUCUGGAAACUCUACUUUCCCCCACCUGACCAUUCCUUCUUCACCUCCUAACUCCUCCCCUGGCUGACUCUCACCUCGUUUCUGUCCCAUGUCCCCUCAGAGUCAGGACACAGGUUGCCACCCCGGGAGUCACUUAACUUGAAUGUGUUUUGAACAGGAUUUCAGUUGUAAUGCUGGCAAGAGUUGUCCCCGUGCAGACGUCACCUUGGAGGAAAAGGGGUGUGCUUCCCGGGUCAACAACCACAGCCCCAAGAAGGAAUUGCCUGCAGAAGAACCUUCAGUGCUGGGCCCAUCGGAUGAGCCUUCCCAACCCCAGCCAAGGCCUGCCAAGCCUGCUGAGCUGGGACAGUGGAGACUUCCCCCAAGUUCAAAGCAGCCGCUGAGCCCGGGGCCCCAGAAGACACUCCAGGCCCUGCAAGAAAGCAGUCCCCAGGGCCCCUCACCAUGGCCAGAGGAGAGUUCCCGAGAUCAGGAGCUGGCGGCUGUGCUGGAGUCCCUGACCUUUGAGGAUGUGCCAGACAAUAAGGCGUGGCCUACACACCCCCUGGGAUUCGGAAGCAGAACCCCAGACAAGGAGGAAUUUAAACAAGAAGAGCCCAAAGGGGCUGCCUGGCCCACUCCCAUCUUAGCAGAGUCCCAGGCAGAUAGUCCUGGGGUGCCGGGAGAGCCUUGCGCCCAGACGCUCGGACAGGGCGCUGCGGCGAGCGGCCCUGGUGAAGAUAGGUCCCUUCUUGGCAGCAGUGAAAUUUUGGAGGUCAAAGUGGCUGAGGGCGUCCCCGAGCCCAAUCCGGAGUUGCAGUUCAUCUGCGCGGACUGCGGGGUGAGCUUCCCGCAGCUGUCUCGCCUGAAGGCGCACCAGCUGCGCUCGCACCCGUCCGGGCGUUCCUUCCUGUGCCUUUGCUGCGGGAAGAGCUUCGGCCGCAGCUCCAUUCUCAAGCUGCACAUGCGCACUCACACGGACGA